UACGGAGGGUGCAAACGUUGCUCGGAAUCAUUGGGCGUAAAGCGCACGUAGGCGGCCUGUUAAGUCGGGUGUGAAAGCCCUGGGCCCAACCCAGGAAGUGCACUCGAAACUGGCGGGCUUGAAUAUGGAAGAGGGUCGCGGAAUUCCCGGUGUAGAGGUGAAAUUCGUAGAUAUCGGGAGGAACACCAGUGGCGAAGGCGGCGUCCUGGCCUGCUACUGACGCUGUGGCGCGAAAGCUAGGGGAGCGAACGGG
rnacentral:rRNA from 1 species